rfam:Otolemur garnettii contig017345, whole genome shotgun sequence.
GCCAGGUGUAGUGGCACGUGCCUGUAGUCCCAGCUACUCAGGAGGCUGAGACAGGAGGAUCACUUGAGUCCAGGAGUUCUGGGUUGUAGUGGGCAAUGCCAAUCAUGUGUCCACAAUAAGUUCAACAUCAAUAUGAUGACCUCCUGGGAGCAGGGGACCACCACGUUGCCUAAGGAGGGGUGAACCGGCCCAGGUCAGAAACGGAGCAAGUCAAAGUUCCUGUGCUGAUCAGUAGUGGGAUCACGCCUGUGAAUAGUCACUGCACUCCAGCCUGGGCAACAUAGCGAGACCCCAUCUCUU